rnacentral:rRNA from 1 species
UACGGGGGGGGCAAGCGUUGUUCGGAAUUACUGGGCGUAAAGGGCUCGUAGGUGGCCAACUAAGUCAGACGUGAAAUCCCUCGGCUUAACCGGGGAACUGCGUCUGAUACUGGAUGGCUUGAGUUCGGGAGAGGGAUGCGGAAUUCCAGGUGUAGCGGUGAAAUGCGUAGAUAUCUGGAGGAACACCCGUGGCGAAGGCGGCCACCUGGGCCGACCCUGACGCUGAGGCGCGAAGGCGUGGGGAGCGAACGGG